rnacentral:tRNA from 1 species
GGUAGGGUAAGUUAAAUUAAACUUCCGGGCUCAUGAUCCGGUGAUAAAGGUGAAAUUCCUUUCUUUACCU